AAGUCGUAACAAGGUAACCGUAGGUGAACCUGCGGUUGGAUCAUUAAUGAAUUAUGGCCCAACGUGUAGUUGGGUCUAAUUAGGGGUGAGCCUAGGAAGAUGUAAAAGUCUGACUGGGAUCCCUCGCAACCCAUGUGAACUGUUAAAGGAGGGUAUUUCGGUACCAGCCUUUGGCUAAACAUAUAGUCAUUAGAAACUAGUCUUAGUAAAACAACUUAAAGUUGAAACAACUUUUGACAACGGAUCUCUUGGCUCUC
rnacentral:misc_RNA from 1 species